CAAGCGAUUCUCCUGCCUCAGCCUCCCAAGUAGCUGGGAUUACAGCCUGUCGAAGUUAUUCAUCCUUCAACACUGAGGCAGAAAUGCCACCUCUUCUUAGAAGCCCCCCAGUCUCUGGCCCCCUCUUCUCCCAGCAGCAGCACACAGCAUGUGAAGAGCCCCCUCCCAUGCAUCUGUGCCUCUCCAGGGCCUCUCCAGGGUGCGCCACUGGAUACCUGCCCUGAAGGUUUGGCUCCUAAUCAAUGUAGAAUUAAAAAAACAAAUGAUGGCUCAUGUAGACAUUACAUGCCUUAUUAAUAAAUGUGAAUAUUUCAAAUUUAA